AAGAUAAAAUUAGCACGCUAUCUAUUUUAUUCAUUAUGUAAAUAAAUUUAGCUACAAUAAUUGAGACAUCGGAGCCUCAGAAAAAUUUAGGGCGAAAAAAAGAGAUAUAAAAAAGUGUGAUUACAAUCGAAAAUCAAAAUCCGUUACUUAGUUCAGUAAAAUUUAGCGCAUUUCUUUUCUAUAUCAUCUAACGGUCGCUAAGGGGUCAAAAGAUUGCUUUCUAAAAAUCACAUUAUUUCUUUCCCGCGAAAUCUUCCACCAACAUGUAGCAGUUAAAGCCAGAUUAUUUGCUGCUGUUUUUCUUUUUGUGUUGUUUCCCAACAUAAACUUCCAUAUAUCCUUGACCUCUGUUACAGAAUCCGAAAUAUGUCUACCUUCUAAAAUAUUGAACAUCCAAAAUCUACUAAAUACGCACCCCACCAGUAAAUAAUCGACAGUCUCAACUUCGCAACCACACAUAACAUAUUGUUGACUUCCGAACCAACCUCCUUUGUGCAAGUUAUCAACCGUGAGUAAGCAUUUUCUAAAGGCUAACUAAAUAAAGAUUUUAACUUUAUACGGUAUUAAGAAGUUAAAGUUUCUUUUUAGGAAUUAAAAAGUUAGAAUUAGCUUCAAGACUCCAAAAUAGAAGCCUAAAGUUAAAGUUUCCGAUCUCGUUACUGUUGAAAAUACUACUACCACCACAACAACGACAUCAGCAAAAAGGGAGAAAACCAAUCACUGGGAUGAGAAUAUCACUGUAUUAAAAAAAAAAGAAAAAGAAAAAACUCCUAAAUUGUUCAAAAUUUCCCCGUCGAGUGAUUCAAUAGAUUGACAUGUUAAAAAGUAAAAGGAGAAUAUCUACAAUUUACAAUCUGAUACAUUCUUGUUCAUAUCGAUCUCAUAAAUGAGGCCGUCAUGGACGCUCAGGGAAAAGCUAAAAGACAAAAACAAAAACAAAAAAACAGCUCCAAAUGAAUGAGGAGAAGGCAUUAACCUCUCUGGUACCUACAUCAAGCUACACUGUUGAGGAUUUACUUCUUUGGUUUUUUGGGCGGUGGCGGUCCCAUGGUACCUGCUUCAGCAUUGCGUUUAAUUCCCAGAAAAUGUUCAACCUGUUAGAGGUAUAGCAAUAUGUAAGCAGAUUUUCCCUACCAAAAUAUACGGUACCUUCGUGUGUUACCACGGAAGGCACUCAUAGUUAAACAUACGUAAACAUAUUAUAAAAUUAGGCAGUAAAAACAGAAUUUUUAGGUUCAGCUGUCCAUUUCAACGGUUCUAUGAAAUCCAUUGUGCAACAAUGUCAAGCUGUGGAAGAGAAACUACCUUUUUAUCCCCCAGCAUUGGUGUCAGGCUCCCCAGAUGGUCUUUCUCUACUGUAGCAAAGCCGCUUCUAGGGUCGCUAGUUUGCCUAAAUCACAGAAGAACAUAAGUAGAAUAUAGAAGAAAAUGUUCUCUGCAAACACAUCAGUAAGGAAAAGCACUACAGUAAUGUGACGCUAUAAAUGGGAAAGAAAAUAAUUUCAGAAGCUUUAUAUUGCUGCAUAUUGGCGGCACUUGUCAACAAAUUCUAUGCAGGCUGAAAAUAGAGACAACUGUAGCCUCUAUAAAAACAGCAAUUACCAGCAGAGUUCAUAAAACUUACCCUGGUUUUACAUGCCCGCUCAAAACAAGGUAAGGAGUCUUCAACUUAGCCUGAGCUUCUCUCAUUUUCUCCAUGGCCAACAAUGGCGUGUCAGAAGCUUUCAUCUGUUUGGUCUUUAGAUCCUCCUGAAACUUCUUCAUGCGCUUUUCUUGCUUCAUUUUCCCUGGUCCCUUGCCAUGGAAUUUGUGUGAAAGCAUCCGAAAGGCCUCCUUUGGCGUCAUCUGAGUAAAGCAGUAAGAAGGCAUCAGGAUACAACUCACUAUUAGCUCUCAUUUUGAUCAUAAAACAAUUGUAUAUGUACAUAACAUGCUACAAAGCAAAAGACAACUCACAAUUCGUCCAAAUUCAUCAGUCCUCUCAAUGCGCAUUUCCUUAGGCCCCUCAUUAUCAUUGAUGCCGACAAGCUUACUUUUCUUCUUGUCCAUAGUUCUGCCACCCCAAUCAAUCCCCUCAUUAAGUGUUCCUCGAUCUUUAAGCAACUUUAGAGCUCCAGCUAGUCCUUUUCCGACAGCCAACUCAUGAAUAAUUUCAUCAGGGGCAACAUCCGUGUCGUCUUCAUUGACAGGUAAUUCUGCACUGUCAAUUUCAUUCACUUCCGUCCAUCCGCCAACCUCAGCUUUCACUUCCUGCUCUGCAGGCUCAGGGGCAUCAUCCUCAUCCAUGAAUACAUCUUCUGCUUCAGGUUUAUGAGUAUCUAAAAGAAGAGGAAUCAACACAUAAUAUUAGCUAAGCCUCAACUCAAGAAAGAGACUAUCCAGAAUAGAAGAAACUCGGUGCCUAUUUAGCCUAGCUUCCUUCUGCUUUCAGCUAUGGUUCACCUGCAGUGAACUGUCUGGCAAACAGAAAAGUUUGCUGCUUUUAUUAGAAAAUUGUAGUUACAUUACCUUGAUUAAGUUGUAAACCCAUUAGAAAAUCCUCCAUCUCCGUUAUGACAACCUUAUUCUCCUGUGCUUCUUCUGUAGAACUGGCCUCUUCUUCUCUCUUCUUGGAUGUAGCUAAGAGCGCAACUGCUUGAGGACCAACAGGAAUUGAUUCAUCCUGCUUUCUUAGGGCAAGCCUUCUCGCCUGCUCGAGAGACCUUUGCAGAUCUUCAUAAUCUUCACCAAAGACAAGUUCCACAUCCUGUGGAACAGAUUGUACAGUUAUGGUUUGCUCCUGCUGCAAAACUUUCGAUGCCUCUUCUGCCUUUGCUAUAGCUGCUUGGUACGCGUUACUUCUCCUCUCAGCCUCAGCUCUCUCCUGCUCCUCCCUUGCCACUUGCCGUUUUAGAUCAUUACGGGAUCCGAGAUCUCCAGUGCCCAAUCCGGCGGCAAUGGCUUCUGCUUCUAAGGCAUCCAAAUCCAACUUCUCUUUCUUCCUCAAGGAUUUCUUUUUCUUUGGCUUCUUAAAUUGAAGCAUUUCUUCGGCAGUGUAAUAAUCUGAAGAUGUCUUUCCUGCUGCGCUGAGAUCUUCAUAGGCUUUUUGGGUGGAACCGCCUGCAAUCCUCCUGCGAAGCUGCCAGUGUAAAAGUAGCUGAUCAGAAAUAACAUCCAAAACAUUCCAUGUCUCUUUCUCAUGCAAAAUAUUCUCAAAAAUUUACAGAAAAAUAUGCAUGUAACAGAAAAUGUUGACCUAAACAUGAUUAUAAUCACAUCGAGAUACACUCAAUACAUGAUUAUCAAAACUGGCUAUUGGCCAAGAGGCUAGCUAUGAAUACAAAAGAACAAAUAGCAGAAAGUAGCAAUAACAAAAAUAACACUAACAACAAACAACGAUGACAACAACAACAACAACGACGAUGACAACAACAAUAAUAAUGAUGACGACGACGAUGACAACAGAAUUUCAGCAAAAAAUAAAUAAAUAAAUAAAAUAAACAUGAUACAAGUCCAGUAAAUUUAUUUACAGUCAAAGAGGAAGGUGUGGAAGGGGGAAAAAAAACAAAGAGAACGAAGGUCCAAGAAGGAAAUGUCCAUGAAGUUGUCACUUGAGAAUCUAAAAGAUAAAGUAGGGGCACAUAUAACCUUAACAGCAACGGGAGACAAAGCGUACCUCUUCCAACUUCUUCUCUGCUUCAACUGAGAAGCCCCCACUUUCAUCCAAGGUAACACCCUUUUGAAAAAGAAAAACAUAAUCAGAAUAGGAGGAGAAAUCUUAAAAAAAGAAAUCAGUCAACUCUGCGGGAUAUAGUCACCUCAUCUUCAAUCUGAUCAUCAUAUUGUGGAAGUAUUGGUCUCCGUGACCCCAUUUCGUCACUAAAUCUACAAGUUUCAAAUGGGAAAUGAACAUUUACUAUAUGAAGCCAUUCACAGAAAAAAUAACUUUUUGCUAUCAAAAAGAAAAGGAUAAGAAAUAAUUUUUCAAGUACAAAACCUACUUAUCAUCAUAUACUCCGGUCUUUUUCUUUGCUGCCCUGUAUGCAUCAUCUCUCUGUUUUUGCUCCACGAUCUCCACAUUUUCAAGCACAUCAGACUCUGGUAUAUUCAUUCAGUAUCAAAUUAGCCUGAAAGAUUAGAAGUAAAUUGGUAAGCUAUUUUUACUACAAUUAUCGAGUACCUUCAUUAAUGUCACCACCAGCAAGAAUAUUUUGAUCUUUCAGCACCAAGGUAACAGCUCCCUCAGCUGCUUUUUCAAACCCAUGACUAAUUUUUACUCCGGCUAGGUGGCCUGAAAGCAGGAACAGCAGAACACUAAUUGUUAGAAAUAUUGCCCAACAAAUUAAAAAAAUAUAUUACGAAGUAAAAAUAAGCAGAAGAACCACCCAUCUUCAAAUAAGCAUAUUAAAAUUAGUUAGGAAAUUGGUCCCUGUAGCUUGACUCGAAUUUCAAUUUCGCCUCGUAGUAUCAAUUCUAACAAUAUAGCCCCUGAAGUUUGUUCUGUGUAACAAUUAAGUCCCACCUUCAGUCAACCAUCUGGAAAAGUGCCACGUGAGCGCCAUUAAUAGACUUUCCGUUGUUAAAAUUGAAUUACUAAGAACGAAUUGGACCUGAGUUCAAACAUCAAGGACCAAAUUGAAAUCAUGACCAAACUUCAAGGGUAAGUUUGAAGCUCGAAACUCUCAGAAUGAAUUUGAAAUGAAAACAAACUUUUGGGAUAAAAUUACAACUAAGACUCUGUUGACCAAAAUUGUAACCCAGGUCAAACUUAGGGGACUAAAUAUGUCACUGACCCUGUAAACUAAUAUUCAAGAAUCAAGUACAAGAUCGUGUACCUCUAUCAAGUUCAUCUGCUUCAUCAUCUCCACUUCCUGCUAGGAUGUUAUCCUGAGAAUUUCAUAUACGCAGUAAGAACCAUUACAUCACAAUAGUUGAUUCCUAGAGAAAAGCGGAAAAUAUUAAACCACUCACCUGCUCCUCCAAAGCUUUUGCGAGAUGUAAUGCUUUCUCCUUCUCAGCGUUUCGCUUCUCCUCAAGCUUCCGACUCCUAGUGACCCAAGCUAAGAUCUCAGAAGUACUAUCAGAUGUCACCUUCAUUCUUUCUUCUCUAAUCCUGACAGGACAAAACUGAUCUUAAAAACAAUGACACGCCAAAUAUUUAACAAGCAUGAUAUGAUCCUUUUCAACCAAGAGAAGUAAAAAAAAAAAAAAAAAAAAAAAUACAAAGCAAGAGGUACGGUGUUAUAAUGGUAUCUCCCGUGACGAGUACAGUUAGCUUAACCUGCAAAGUUCCAUAUGACGAAACACAGAAGCUUCAAGAACAGAUGCAUAGCUUAUCAUAGUUUGUCAUUGUCAACUCUCAUUUGCAGCAAAUAGUUAGUCACAUAGAUCACUAGCAAUGAAAUGCAAAAGUAAUUUACUGAUAGCAAGAGAUUUGGACAUUAAAUUAGUUCAAAAAGGAAUUCAAAGGGCUACAUAAGUGGCUAUCAAGGGAAAUAAAAAAAAAGGGGUCUUACUUCGUAAGACGCUCUCCAAGAUCGGUGCUUGGCACCUUGGGAGCGGUCGCUUCAUGAAGGUUAUCCUUCUCUCGAUCUUCGUCCUUCCUCUCCCUAGACUUCUCCUUGGCAUUGUCCCUCUCUAUCUUAUCCCUCUCCUUCUCUCGAUUCUUACUUCUCUCCUUCUCCCUAUCCCUCUCUUUAUCUUUUAACCUAUCUUGAUCCUUUUCCCUCUCCCUCUCCCUCUCCCUCUCCCUCUCCCUUUCCCUACCCUUCUCGCGAUCUCGCUCUCGCGCUCUCUCAUCCCUCUCACUCUCAUGAUGCUUACUUCUUUCCCGGCCGCCCUUAUCCUUCUCCCUGCCGUGAUCGCGCUGCUCUCUUUCUCUCUCGCCUUCUCUAUCCUUCUCCCUCUCCUUCACCCUAUCCCUAGACUCUCUCUCCUUCUCCCUAUGCUUACUAUCCCUCUCGUAAUCCUUCUCCCUCGCCUUCUCCCGACCACUCUUCUCCUUCUCCCGAUCCCUCUCCUCCUUCCUUCGGUCCCUACCACUAUCCCUUCUAUCAUAUCGAUCCGAAUCCCUGUGCUCCUCUUUCUCCCUCUCCCUCGACCGAUCCCUGUGCUUGCUUCUAUGCUUCCCCGGCUCCUUAUGCCUCUCCCUAUCCCUGUCACCGUCCAUGCCGUCCACCUCCUCGUCCCUAACCCCUCUCCCCGAAACCCUAGCGUCCUCCCCCAUCUCCGCAUCCGCUACACCCAUCGAAUUGCCGAAGAGGGUGGAGUAAUAGACUAAUAGCUCCCAAAAAUCCGGUUGUUAUGCUGCGAAGGAGCAAAGCGACGCGGUUACAGCUGAGAUUUGAGAUAAAAACAAGGAAUCGAGGAGAGAGAGGGAGCGGAUUCGAGGAUCAGAGAGAGCUUACCUGAUGAAUCGGAACACACGAUUAGGGCAACAAAACAGAUGAUCGAGAGAACGAGAUCGAGAGAGGAGGGAAAGAGGGAAGGGAAAGAGGGAUUAGAGCGGGGUAUAUAAUGCACGCGAGGGUCGGCUUAUAGUGGGCUUCUAUUUCGGCCCAUCCAAACCCAUAAAUCAAGCUAAUUUGGGCCGAACCAAAUAAAGAGAAAUUAACUGGCCCGGCCUAUACAAAUAUUUAACGGGUCCCAAUUUUGGCCCUUGAGUCUCGUAUAUUGAGACUUGGACCCGAUCCGCAAAAGGUGGGAAGUGGCCACGUGGGCAGUGGGCCGGUUGGAUUUGGGUUGUGGUGAAAUUUUCAGCAGACCCCCUCAGCUAUUAGAGACUUUGAAAUGGAGUCUUCAACUUUUUUUUGUCACACAUACGCUGGCUUUUAAAUAUUUAGUUAAAUUUGAAUUAUUUUUAAAAAUUAAAAUGGAAAUUAGUUAUUAAAUACUGAAGGAUUUCACAAUUUUGUUAUUUGAAAAGUGGAUACAGCUGCUAAAUUUUAUGAAACAGGUGUUAAAUCAAAUGAUAUCUCGAAUUGAAUUGAUUGAGAAAAGAAAUCAGAAAAAGUUAAUAAAGCAAAAAAUCAAAAAAAAAGAAAAAAAAAAAAAACCUUUCAACUACAUAUUGCCCUAAUCUUAAACAUUUAAAAAAAAAAAAACUUUUUUAUGUGACCAACUUUGGAAAAGAAAAUGACUAUAGAUUUUGGAACACUUUUUUCUUUUUCUCCCUUCAAUCAGGAACCAAUCUACAAUUCCAUAAGUCAAACGCAAUUCAUGUAUGUUUCCAUAGACAUGCAUUUACAAAUUUAAUUUGAUGGGUAGCUACAAAUUAU
rnacentral:lncRNA from 1 species